AACCCGCCUGCAUGAAGCUGGAAUCGCUAGUAAUCGCGGAUCAGAAUGCCGCGGUGAAUACGUUCCCGGGUCUUGUACACACCGCCCGUCACACCAUGGGAGUCGGAAAUGCCCGAAGCCGGUGGCCCAACCGAGAGGAGGGAGCCGUCGAAGGCAGGUUGGAUGACUGGGGUGAAGUCGUAACAAGGUAAC
rnacentral:rRNA from 1 species